AAAGCUUGAAGGUAGAUCGGACAAGUUGAGACACAUGACGUCAUGACCACUACUAUAGGUUUGGAGUGGGAUGGUGUGGUUGUGUACUAAGGAUGGUUGACACAAAAGAUGAUCUUUUUAAAUUUUUUUUUUAAUCAAAAGAUGAUUUAUUUUUUCUCUUUCUUCCUUUUUAAUUUAUUUUUUAUCUGAAAUAAUCUUUAUUCACUCAUUUUACAUAGAUUCUAUUUGACCCACAUUUUUUAAAAGUAUUUUUUCUCAAACUCAUUUUUUGCUACACAUUUCAUGUGAUCCAAAAUUUUUAUAAAUUUUAUUAACUUUUAUUAAAAUUUACUAAAAAUCUAAUUUUUAGUUAAAUCGAACAGAGCCUUACAAUAGUGGUCUACAUGCUUUGCAAGGACAUUUUAAUGAAUAAUUGAAGGACUUCAAUCCUUUGAGACUGUCCGUACAACAAUUAUGAAACGCAGAGGAUUAAAAAUGUCUCGAUUUAAAAGUUAAUGAUAAAACUUGCUACAUAGGCAUAUGUUGAUGAGGAACCGUGCAAUUUACCCGAUUAUUGAGGGUUUCGGAAUUGGAAGAGGGUGGAUGAUCCUAUGCAAAGAGGCCCACAAUAAAAUGCUGUAAAAGCAUUAAUCACUAUUCAUUAGGGAAAUGAAAAUGACCAAAUUGGUCAAUUACUUCAGUUGUUGUGUGCAAGUGGCGUGCACGCGCUAUCCUCACGAGUUAGUAAAACGAGGAAUCGCAAGAAUUCCUAGUUGUCACUUCGUUUUUUUCGGCUUUUACGGUUUUAAAAUUUAAAUUAAGUUAAAUCAAUUAUUAAAUACCCAAUAGAUUACUAUUUUAAAAAUGACUAGAAAUUGGGAAAAAUAAAAAAAUACUUAAAAACUACCCUCCUGGACUAUUUACCACCUCUUUAUUAUUUUUGAAAAAUGAUGCAGCCCGAAAGCCAUUCAAUUCAAAUUUGCAACAAUAAAAAAUUCCUAUCGACUCACUCAUGGUAUGAUCAUCUACAUUAUAGGUCUUUCUGUUUUGUCAUAUGGCUUAUGUUUUUCAUUAACAUGGAAUUGAGCACGAUAGUAUGUGUGAUAGCAUUUACUACAGUUGGAAUAUCAAUGAAUUCGAUUAUUGCAAUUGCUCAGGAUACAUUUUUUUAACUUCUAGGGUUUAUUUCUUAGUCCAAGAUCCUUAUUACUGUCUGCAAUCAAAGAACUGUAGAUCUAUUCCGACCAAAAUGGGAAUGAGCUAGGGUUAUGAACUUAUAAUCUGAUAAUCGAGCUGAUUUCAUGAUUAUAAGUUCAUUCUAAGCCAUAUCAGACUAGAAUAGGGUUAUAUACAUUUUCAAUAGGUCGUUAGAAUUUAUCCAGAUAUUAUGAUCCCCCGAACCUUUUGGAUCCCAUGAGUGAAUCGAAAUUCAGAUCUACAUGGGAUCUCACUCGAAUGGCUCAUCUAUACUCCUGAGAAGAGGUUUCAUUUCAAACCUUGAUUCAAACAAGAUGAAUAUGCCAUGCUAAUGUGCCUUGGAUAAUCCACUUCUCAAGAUCAAGUGCCGAUGAGCACAUUGAACAGUCCCGAAUUCAAGUUGAUUCUAUUUCACCUUUUCCUUCAAGAAAGACGGUCAAACAAUUCCCAAUCACGAUUCUUGUGGAUCAUGUCAUUCAAAUAAUAUACAACUAGUCCUCAAAGGUUGAAAUCGUCACAAUCACCAUUAAAUUGUCACGUCUUCUUGCAUAUCUAACUUUAUAAAUCUAUAUUUUACAUCUAAACUUGCAUUGUAAAAUAAUUAAAAUGAAG
rnacentral:lncRNA from 1 species